AUUGAACGCUGGCGGAAUGCUUUACACAUGCAAGUCGAACGGCAGCACGGGUGCUUGCACCUGGUGGCGAGUGGCGAACGGGUGAGUAAUGUAUCGGAACGUAUCCAAUAAUGGGGGAUAACUAACCGAAAGGUUAGCUAAUACCGCAUACGCCCUACGGGGGAAAGCAGGGGAUCUUCGGACCUUGCGUUAAUGGAGCGGCCGAUAUCUGAUUAGCUAGUUGGUGAGGUAAAGGCUCACCAAGGCUUCGAUCAGUAGCUGGUCUGAGAGGACGACCAGCCACACUGGAACUGAGACACGGUCCAGACUCCUACGGGAGGCAGCAGUGGGGAAUUUUGGACAAUGGGGGCAACCCUGAUCCAGCCAUUCCGCGUGAGUGAAGAAGGCCUUCGGGUUGUAAAGCUCUUUCGCAAGGGAAGAAACGAUACAGUCGAAUAAACUGUGUUAAUGACGGUACCUUGAUAAGAAGCACCGGCUAACUACGUGCCAGCCGCCGCAGUAACAC
rnacentral:rRNA from 1 species